ACAGAAUUUGUGAUUUACAUCCUUGAAAGACCUGCUUCAGGACCUGCAAGAAGAAUUCCUUCAAACGAGACCACUAACUUCCUUAAUGGACAACUGAUUCAGCUGAAGAGUAAGCUGGUGGUGGAGAACAUUGUCCCCAAGAUGGGCUUUACGGAGCAGGCACUAAAAGAGUACCUGGACACCCCACAAGAAGGUAUUCAUCCCUUUUUGUGGGAACAAGCCAAGUUAGACAACCCUGAUCCAGACAGCUUGGUCCCUGUUCCAAUGAUUGGGUUUAAGGCCCUGCACCAGCGACUGAAGCAUCAAGAGCAGCAGACCCAGGCUCAUCAGCAACGCCUCGAUUUGAUUGCUGAGGAUUUAGAGUCACUUCAACAGAAGCAGGUGAACAUGUUGGCAAAGUUAGAGGAGUACAAAAGGAAGCACAUACAGCUCAGCCACAGACUCUUACAGGUUGUUGUGAAACAAGAGAUUUCUAGAAAAAUGGGAUAUUCCAUUCAAGCAGAAGAAGAACAACUUCGAGUGCAGUUGGAAAAAAUUCAACUCGAACUCAACCACCCAACACAGUUUAAGGGGCGGUUAAAUGAGCUGAUGUCCCAGAUCCGCAUGCAGAAUCAUUUGGCGGGAACGAGAGCAGACUUCAGCUACCAGAUGGAUCCAAGCCUGCAGCAGGAAAUCAAACAUCUCUUGAAACAACAACAAGAAGGACUUAAGCACUUAGUGAAUAUCAUUAAAGAAGAUGCACAGGACAUCCAGUUAAUGGAACAGAACCUUGAGGCCUCCCCAUUCAGUCAGCGGUGACAGAGCCAGGGUCUCUCAACUUCAUGUACAAUGUACAUUUGUAUUAUCAUUUGUUCCUAUAGACACUUUACGUGGACGCAAUUCCUGUGUAUUUGACAGGAUUUGCCAUAUUUUCAACUCAAUGAUGUAUUGACAUUCAAGCCUUUUUAGACUUAUUAUAGAGUGUGUGUAUGUCAUCAUAUACUGCAAAUACCUGUUGUCAGAUGUUAUGAAAUACUUAAAAACAUUCAAAAUAAAAUUUACAGC
rnacentral:misc_RNA from 1 species